GUAUUUUUGUAUUUUUUUUUUUUUUUUUUUUUUUUUUAUUGGUUUUGAAUGUCGUGAUAUGUAAUGUCGAUAUUCUGUCACUCGUCUCGCACUGUUUAUCAUGUUUUUUUUAUGAUUGUGUUAUUUUUGUUGUUUCGGAUUUUCUUAUUUAUUUGUGUAUUUUUUUAUUAGGUUUAUAUAUUGUGUGUUGUGAAUGUUGAGUUUGGUAAUGUCGACAUUUUGAAGCCCCUCGCCACAGCUACUUGUAUCUUCAAACAGAGUAAAACCAUAAAAACAUUGAAUAUUCCACACAUAAUUCCCAGAUAACUUUCAAAUACUGAAAAUUUAACACACGCAAGGACAUAGUAUUGGAAUUUAAUGUGUUGUGAAUGCUGAGUUUAGUAAUGUCGACAUUUUGAAGCUCACCACGGCUACGUACUUGUAUCCUCAAAUAAACUAAAACCAUAACAACACUGAAUAAUCCACACAUAAUUCCCUGAUAACCUUGAAAUACUGAGAAUUUAACACAUACAAGGACAUAGUAUUGGAAUUUAUAGUGGGUAAGGAGAAGAGAGUCAAUUCCUUUAGAGAGCCAGUUACUUACGGGGCCACAGACAUGGCGGUCGGUGUGGACUGCUUCGUGUUCACGAAUCACCAGUCAUUUGAGCAACAGCGGCGGGAGGCCAAGCGCUCCUUCAUCAUCCAGCUAGAUCCUCCCACCCAUGGUACAAUAACACUCGUGUACCAUGCUCCCACCCACCCACUCAUCAACGUGUUGUUAUUUGCUUGUAUAACUCGACUUGAAGCGAGCCAAGCAGCCCCGCCUGGACAGCUCCAACAAGCCUUUGUGCCUUGAAGUAGCUCAGUUGAGUGAGGCUGGCUCAUCCAUGAUCCCAGCUAUCAUAGGAACAACUCUACUGAAGGCGUGUGCACCAGCAGGUGAUAGGGCGCCGUCUUCACCAUGGGAACCACAACCAACAGUGCUGAGCCAGGUAAGGCUUGUGAAGGUUUAUCCAAUGGUACAAGUAUAAAACUUGAACAUUCUCAAUAUAUAAUUUUUAUUUUUACUGUCAAAUAAUAAUAAUAAUAAUCAUCAGAGAAAGAUUUUGUUUAGCUGAUCUUUCUCUCAAGUGGCAAAGCAGCUUUCUGUCCAUGACAGAUAACCAUGACCACCUCUACAGCUACUCUCAAGCACAGUGAUAUUGCCAGAAAUGUGUGAUAGUAAUGACUCAAGCUUUGUGCUGGAAGACAUAGUAUCACUUAGUCUAAAUAGAUGUAGUGUCAACCACAUCCCCUCAGGAAGUUUGUACCUCAGUUUAGUCAGGGAAUGUAGUGUGUUCACUGUGGUCCUCCUUGCACUUAAUAUUCCUAAAAUUAUUAACAAUUUUUACAUUAGAAAAAUAUAAGCAUAUUCUGGGAAUACAAAAUCACUCUAUUAUUAUUUUAAUAAUGUUAACCUUGGGAUGCAUGUCUGACUGUGUACAAGAAAACUU